AACGAACGCUGGCGGCAUGCCUAACACAUGCAAGUCGAACGAGACCUUCGGGUCUAGUGGCGCACGGGUGCGUAACGCGUGGGAACCUGCCCUUAGGUUCGGAAUAACUCCCCGAAAGGGGUGCUAAUACCGGAUAAUGUCUUCGGACCAAAGAUUUAUCGCCUUUGGAUGGGCCCGCGUUGGAUUAGCUAGUUGGUAGGGUAAAAGCCUACCAAGGCGACGAUCCAUAGCUGGUCUGAGAGGAUGAUCAGCCACACUGGGACUGAGACACGGCCCAGACUCCUACGGGAGGCAGCAGUGGGGAAUAUUGGACAAUGGGCGAAAGCCUGAUCCAGCAAUGCCGCGUGAGUGAUGAAGGCCUUAGGGUUGUAAAGCUCUUUUACCCGGGAUGAUAAUGACAGUACCGGGAGAAUAGGCGCCGGCUAACUCCGUG
rnacentral:rRNA from 1 species